AGAGACCAGCAGUUAAUCCAACCCGAGCAGUUACUCCUUCGAUACCUCCGUGCAUUUGCUAAACACGGUCCACAUCCACACAUCACCUUACAAAAAUGAAGUUAUUUCCAAUUUCAGGUAAGGAAACUGAGGCUUGGUAAGGUUAAUCUGUCUACACUUAUGUAACUAUUAAGUGAAGAGCUGUAAUUAGAACUCAAAUCUGACUACGAAUGACAUAAUUCUUAACUACUCACAUGAAGGUGUUUCAUUGUCACCAUACAGGAAAGACACCUGAGAAGGGGCCAGCAAGUAACAUACUGAUAUGACAUCAUAUAAACAUCAGACAGAGAGCAGGCUAGCAAAUCACUCAGCAUGCCAUUAGACGUGGGGAUGGCUGACACUGGGCUAUCUAUGGCUGAAGAAACACUACGAGCAGAGAGCCUGGAAGUGAAACGGAGCACUGGACGGAGCACUGGACAGAGGGAGCACUGGACGGAGAGAACACUGGACGCAGCAGGGGUUAUGGGGGCAGAGCUAGGAAAGCCUAGAUUCCCUCCUGUCCUCUUCUCUGAAAACAUGUCUAACAGAGAUAAGACAAACUCUCAAAUCCUAAAUACAUUUGCAAAGGGCUAUCUGGAAGUGUGUACAGUACAUGUAAUUUACACACUAACAGGCCUUUAAUCCUUUCAGCGCAACUGUUGCUGUUAAGGCACUUCAGCGAGGCACUACGUGUCAUCUGCUCACUCUCCCUCCAUGACCUGGGCAGAAGGAGCUGUGCCUACAGCUUAUGCACCCCUGCCUCAGUGAGAGCAAAUGCACUGAGCGAGCAUGGAAGACAUUUGUGGCCACAUCUGCCUGACUCCAGAGCUCUCUGUUCAACACUUUAACUUUCAUUAAGAAAAGAAACAAAAAUAUUACAACAGAAGCAGUAAGUGGAAGAAAAUAUCUGUGUGGCUGAGACUGACAUUCUCACGUACACGGCAGAGAUCUCAAACACUGUGCUGACACAAGCGGUAGAGACUACUUCCCAAGAACAAGGAGCCCCAGGAAAUACAGGAUACAGUUCUACGUUCCUCAGAGUUGCCGAGUCUGCAUCGAAGGACGCCUGAUAGAGAUCCCGGUACCGGGAGGCAAGGCUUCGGAACUCUUCCAUGGACUGCUUCAUCUACAAA
rnacentral:sRNA from 1 species